rnacentral:rRNA from 2 species
GGAUGCGAUCAUACCAGCACUAAAGCACCGGAUCCCAUCAGAACUCCGAAGUUAAGCAUGCUUGGGCGAGAGUAGUACUAGGAUGGGUGACCUCCUGGGAAGUCCUCGUGUUCCAUUCC